rnacentral:ribozyme from 12 species
AAAGAUUCGCGGAUGCAGAUUUUGGAAGGCUAACAAGCGAGUCCGAUUCGGUGUAUUUUGGAAUCCUGAAGUUUUCAUCCUUUCGUCUAUCUGAUGUCAUCAAAUUGUAUCUCUACAUUUAUUU